rnacentral:lncRNA from 1 species
CCCAUAGUACUAGUCUGGUUGUCAUCUCAGACUUGUUCCUUGCCUGGACUGCCUAAGUGGGCCAUGUGAGGGUCAUAUAUCUCAGGCUCACUUCUGAAAGACCCAGGCAGAGUUCUAGUUUCAGGCUUGCUCCUGGUCCUGGGAGCCCUUAAACCUGCACAGCUGGACUGGUGGUCAUUUCAGGAUACCUCCCUGAGUCAGUUCCCUGACACCAAACUGGUGAUCAUCUCAGUUUGCUUACAGACACUUGCUUUGCGGCCUCUGAUGGAAUGACACCUCCUACCACUGCAUCCUGGAACUUCAGUGUGCUUAUCACAACCAGCACAGAGGAACUUGCAGGUACCACUACACACAUGAGGAAGCCAGAGCCAGUGGACAACUUUCUCUCCUUCCAUCAUGAGGACCUCGGAUGAAACUGAGUUUGUCACGAUUGGCUGAAAGUACUCCUACCUGCCGAGCGUUGCUCUGGCACAACAGGUCUCAAUAUCUGACUGUUCGUAUCCUUCUCCAGUGCCGUAUUCUGCGUACAUUAAAGAAACUGGUGUAAACAAA